rnacentral:ncRNA from 1 species
CUGGUUGAUCCUGUCAGUAGUCAUAUACUUGUCUCAAAGCCGUGCAUGUCUAAGUACAUGUCGUAUUAAGGCCAAACAGCGCAUUUCUUAUUCAAUCAGUUAUGCUUUCUUGGACUGUACCUUACUACUUGGAUAACUAUGGCAAUUCUAGAGCUAAUACAUGCAGCAGAGCUCCGACCCUCUGGGGACGAGCGCUUUUAUUUGACCAAAACCAAUCGGACAUCGUGUCCGUAUUAUGUGGUGACUCUGUACAACAUUGGGCUGAUCGCGCAGGCUCGUCCUGACGACGUAUCAGUGUCUGCUUCUAAAUUGUCGAUGGUAGGUUACGCGCCUACCAUGGUCGUAAGGGGUGACGGGGAAUCAGGGUUCGAUUCGGGAGAGAGAGCCUUAGAAACGGCUACCACAUCCAAGGAAGGCAGCAGGCGAGCAAAUGACUCACUCCCAGAAAGAGGAGGUAGUGACAAAAAAAUAACAAUACGGGGCUCUUUUUGAGACCCGUAACUGGAAUGAGUACACUCUAAUUCCUUUAACGAAUUUCACAAAUAAUUUCACUAAAAUUAUUUACAUAUAUACAAAAUACGUAACAGUAUUUUUU